rnacentral:rRNA from 1 species
GAAACUAACAAGGAUUUUCUUAGUAGCGGCGAGCGAAAAGAAAAUAGUUCAGCACUAAGUCACUUUGUCUUUAUGGCAAAUGUGAGAUGCAGUGUAUGGAAUGUCAAAUUUCUAGUAUGAGAAAUUAACGAUUUAAGUCCUUCUUAAAUGAGGCCAUUUACCCAAAGAGGGUGCCAGGCCCGUAUAACGUUAAUGAUUACUAGAUGGCAUUUCAAAAGAGUCGUGUUGCUUGAUAGUGCAGCACUAAGUGGGUGGUAAACUCCAUCUAAAACUAAAUAUAACCAUGAAACCGAUAGUAAACAAGUACCGUGAGGGAAAGUUGAAAAGAACUCUGAAUAGAGAGUUAAAUAGUACGUGAAACUGCUUAGAGGUUAAGCCCGAUGAACCUGAAUAUCC